AAACCCUAACCUACCUUUUCCUCUCCCUUCAGCCGCACCAUACCCCCUUUCUUCCUAAACCUAACGUAGAAACGGAAACAGAGAGGAAAGAGAGAGGGAAGAGCUGCUACUCUACUGCUGCCCGCAAGGAUCCCGUGCCACCAUCGUCACCAUCGUCGUCAUCCUCGUGAGCUGCAGCGUCGCCGUUCAACCUCGUCCCGCCGCGUCUCCAUGGUCGUCGUUGCUGCGAGCUCGCCACCGUCAAGGAGAAGCUGUCGUCGCGUCUUGUCCCGCCGUCACCACCGUUGCCCUGGAGCUCGCCUGCCGUCGUCGUUGAGGCAGACAGAGGUGGAGUGGCGCGAGGUGGAAGGCGAGCUGUUCGCGUUGCCAUUCGCGCCACCGUUGCUGAGCCAUAGCGCUGCCGCCGGGUCUCACUGCUGUGCAUCACCGUCCAAAGCAGAGAGUCACGAUGGAGCUCCGUUUGUGCUUCUCUGGUCCGCCGAGAGAGGAGCUCAUGGGUAGAGGAAGGCCAGUUGAGAGAGAGAACGCCGUUGAGUGGGGUAAACGCCUCUGCCGUGCUUCUUGGUCACUGGUGGUGGAGCCGCGUCGCCGUCACCCCUGGGCUGCCGUUCCUGCUGCUGCCGUUUCCUCGUUCUGUUAUUAUUGUCUAAUUGAGAUCGGAGAGGAGAGGAGGCGUUUAACCUUGUCAUUGUUGCUGCCAUGGAAAUAGGUGCUGGAAACUGCUAAUGGAGCAGCUGCGUUUAGUGAUUUUUGUGAGUUUCGACUUUGAGUGACACAGGUUUGAAGACUCAGUUUGAAGCUGCGGGCGAUUCUAGAAC